rnacentral:rRNA from 1 species
UACAGAGGUCUCAAGCGUUGUUCGGAUUCAUUGGGCGUAAAGGGUGUGUAGGUGGCGCGCUAAGUCGGGUGUGAAAUUUCGGAGCUUAACUCUGAAACUGCAUUCGAUACUGGCGUGCUUGAGGACUGGAGAGGAGACUGGAAUUCAUGGUGUAGCAGUGAAAUGCAUAGAGAUCAUGAGGAAGACCAGUGGCGAAGGCGGGUCUCUGGACAGUUCCUGACACUGAGACACGAAGGCCAGGGGAGCAAACGGG